rnacentral:rRNA from 1 species
AGGACAAACGCUGGCGGGGUGCAUGAGACAUGCAAGUCGAACGAGGCACUGUUGAGCUUGCUCGACGGUGUCCUAGUGGCGGACGGCUGAGUAACGCGUAGGUGACCUACCCGGAAGUGGGGAAUAACUGCCCGAAAGGGUGGCUAAUACCGCAUGUGGUCGACGAUUCGAUUCGUCGUCCAAAGGAGCAAUUCGCUUCCGGAGGGGCCUGCGUCCGAUUAGCUAGUUGGUAGGGUAACGGCUUACCAAGGCGACGAUCGGUAGCUGGUCUGAGAGGAUGAUCAGCCAGACUGGGACUGAGACACGGCCCAGACUCCUACGGGAGGCAGCAGUCGGGAAUUUUGCCCAAUGAGCGAAAGCUUGAGGCAGCAACUCCGCGUGAGGGAUGAAGGCUCGUAGGGUCGUUAAACCUCUUUUCUCAGGGAAGAUACAAGACGGUACCUGAGGAAUAAGCGACGGCUAACUACGUGCCAGCAGCCGC